rnacentral:rRNA from 1 species
AGUACAUAUGGCGCAAGACGAUUCCACAUAUCGAGGUCGGAAUGGGAUCGGGUGUUUUCACGUCUUACCGUAGUGCCCGGUUUAUCUUUCUUUCCGAUUGAUGAACAAGAAGGAAAAGAUCACUAUCACUAUUGGAUUUUGUGACUCGCCCCCGGCUACGUGUCCUUUCUUUGGACCCUUCGCCACCAGUGGAAGCAAGCUAGCCCCCUUUGUUGGUUGCCCCUUUCCCCUUUCUUUGAUUGAAUAAAAGGUCAGCAUUCAAGCC